CCAAUAGCGUAUAUUAAAGUUGUUGCAGUUAAAAAGCUCGUAGUUGAACUUCGGGGUUUACCCAUUGGUCAGGCUUAAUUGUCUGUACUGGUGAGAUAAAUCUCUACCUUCUGAGGAACUUUCAUGCCAUUUAUUUGGUGUGAUGGGAAAUCAGGACUGUUACUUUGAAAAAAUUAGAGUGUUUAAAGCAGGCUAACGUCUGAAUACAUUAGCAUGGAAUAAUGAAAUAGGACGGACUGAUUCUAUUUCGUUGGUUUCUAGGAUCACCGUAAUGAUUAAUAGGGAUAGUUGGGGGCAUUAGUAUUCAAUUGUCAGAGGUGAAAUUCUUGGAUUUAUUGAAGACUAACUACUGCGAAAGCAUUUGCCAAGGAUGUUUUCAUUAAUCAAGAACGAAAGUUAGGGGAUCGAAGACGAUCAGAUACCGUCGUAGUCUUAACCAUAAACUAUGCCGACUAGGGAUCGGACGAAGUUAAUUUUAUAAUGACGCGUUCGGCACCUUACG
rnacentral:misc_RNA from 1 species